rnacentral:rRNA from 1 species
GAUGAACGCUAGCUACAGGCCUAACACAUGCAAGUCGAGGGGCAGCACUGAGGAAGCUUGCUUUCUCUGGUGGCGACCGGCGGAUGGGUGAGCAACGCGUAUCCAACCUGGCCUGCGCGCGGGGAUAGCCCUUGGAAAUGAGGAUUAACACCCGAUACGCCUUUUGCCCGCAUGGGCAUUUGGUGAAUCUUGCGCAGGAUGGGGAUGCGUUGGAUUAGCUUGCUGGUGAGGUAGAGGCUCACCAAGGCGACGAUCAGUAGCCGGCCUGAGAGGGUGACCGGCCACAUUGGGACUGAGACACGGCCCAGACUCCUACGGGAGGCAGCAGUGGGGAAUAUUGCGCAAUGGGCGGAAGCCUGACGCAGCGACGCCGCGUGCGGGACGAAGGCCCUCGGGCCGUAAACCGCUUUCAGCGGGGACGAUCGUGACGGUACCCGCAGAAGAAGCCCCGGCUAACUACGUG